AAGGGUAUAGCUCAGUGGUAAAGUGCACACCGAGCAUGCACAAGGUCCUGGGUUCAAUCCCCAGUACCUCUA
rnacentral:tRNA from 1 species